GUGUCAGCCGCCGCGGUAAGACAGAGGGCGCAAGCGUUGUUCGGAAUUACUGGGCGUAAAGCGCGCGUAGGCGGAUCUGUUAGUCCGUAAGUGAAAUCCCGCCGCUCAACGGCGGGGCUGCUUGGGAAACGGCAGGUCUGGGGACCGGUAGAGGUCGGUAGAAUUCCCGGUGUAGCGGUGGAAUGCGUAGAGAUCGGGAAGAACACCCGUGGCGAAGGCGGCCGACUGGGCCGGAUCCGACGCUCAAGCGCGAAAGCGUGGGGAGCAAACAGGAUUAGAUACCCUCGUAGUCC
rnacentral:rRNA from 1 species